UACGAAGGGGGCUAGCGUUGCUCGGAAUGACUGGGCGUAAAGGGCGCGUAGGCGGUUUUGACAGUCAGAUGUGAAAUUCCUGGGCUCAACCUGGGGGCUGCAUUUGAUACGUUCGGACUAGAGUGGGGAAGAGGGUCGUGGAAUUCCCAGUGUAGAGGUGAAAUUCGUAGAUAUUGGGAAGAACACCGGUGGCGAAGGCGGCGACCUGGUCCGUGACUGACGCUGAGGCGCGAAAGCGUGGGGAGCAAACAGG
rnacentral:rRNA from 1 species